GAUGAACGCUGACAGAAUGCUUAACACAUGCAAGUCUUUGGCGAAGCUGUGCUUGCACAGCCUAGCCAAGGCGGACGGGUGAGUAACGCGUAAGGAACUUGCCCUGCAGUCAGGGAUAACAGACGGAAACGACUGAUAAGACCUGGUAAAGUCAGGCGGACUCAUGUCCAGCCUGAUGAAAAGAGAUGCUGCAGGAGAGCCUUGCGUCCUAUUAGCUUGUUGGUAGGGUAACGGCCCACCAAGGCGAUGAUAGGUAGCCGGCCUGAGAGGAUGGACGGCCACAAGGGGACUGAGAUACGGCCCUUACUCCUACGGGAGGCAGCAGUGGAGAAUAUUGGACAAUGGGGGCAACCCUGAUCCAGCAAUUCUGUGUGCACGAUGAAGGUUUUCGGAUUGUAAAGUGCUUUCAGCAGGGAAGAAAAAAAUGACGGUACCUGCAGAAGAAGCGACGGCUAAAUACGUG
rnacentral:rRNA from 1 species